rnacentral:rRNA from 1 species
AGCAGCCGCGGUAAUUCCAGCUCCAAUAGCGUAUAUUAAAGUUGUUGCAGUUAAAAGCUCGUAGUUGAAUUUCGGGAUCAAUUUAUUGGUCGUGCUAUUGUACGUACUGGUAUUAUUGAUUCCUACCUUCUGACGAACCAUGAUGUCAUUAAUUUGGUGUCUUGGGGAAUCAGGACUGUUACUUUGAAAAAAUUAGAGUGUUUAAAGCAGGCUCACGCUUGAAUACAUUAGCAUGGAAUAACGAAAUAGGACGUUUGAUUCUAUUUUGUUGGUUUCUAGGAUCGACGUAAUGAUUAAUAGGGAUAGUUGGGGGCAUUAGUAUUCAAUUGUCAGAGGUGAAAUUCUUGGAUUUAUUGAAGACUAACUACUGCGAAAGCAUUUGCCAAGGAUGUUUUCAUUAAUCAAGAACGAAAGUUAGGGGAUCGAAGACGAUCAGAUACCGUCGUAGUCUUAACCAUAAACUAUGCCGACUAGGGAUCGGAUGAUGUUAAUUUUUUAAUGACUCAU